rnacentral:rRNA from 1 species
AGAGUUUGGUCAUGGCUCAGGACGAACGCUGGCGGCACGCUUAACACAUGCAAGUCGAACGAGAGAAGAGGAGCUUGCUUUUCUGAUCUAGUGGCGGACGGGUGAGUAACACGUGAGCAAUCUGCCUUUCAGAGGGGGAUACCGAUUGGAAACGAUCGUUAAUACCGCAUAACAUAAUUGAACCGCAUGAUUUGAUUAUCAAAGAUUUAUCGCUGAAAGAUGAGCUCGCGUCUGAUUAGCUAGUUGGUAAGGUAACGGCUUACCAAGGCGACGAUCAGUAGCCGGACUGAGAGGUUGAUCGGCCACAUUGGGACUGAGACACGGCCCAGACUCCUACGGGAGGCAGCAGUGGGGAAUAUUGCACAAUGGAGGAAACUCUGAUGCAGCGAUGCCGCGUGAGGGAAGAAGGUUUUAGGAUUGUAAACCUCUGUCUUCAGGGACGAAAAAAGACGGUACCUGAGGAGGAAGCUCCGGCUAACUACGUGCCAGCAGCCGCGGUAAUACGUAGGGAGCGAGCGUUGUCCGGAAUUACUGGGUGUAAAGGGAGCGUAGGCGGGAUCGCAAGUCAGAUGUGAAAACUAUGGGCUUAACCCAUAAACUGCAUUUGAAACUGUGGUUCUUGAGUGAAGUAGAGGUAAGCGGAAUUCCUAGUGUAGCGGUGAAAUGCGUAGAUAUUAGGAGGAACAUCAGUGGCGAAGGCGGCUUACUGGGCUUUAACUGACGCUGAGGCUCGAAAGCGUGGGGAGCAAACAGGAUUAGAUACCCUGGUAGUCCACGCCGUAAACGAUGAUUACUAGGUGUGGGGGGACUGACCCCUUCCGUGCCGCAGCAAACGCAAUAAGUAAUCCACCUGGGGAGUGCGACCGCAAGGUUGAAACUCAAAGGAAUUGACGGGGGCCCGCACAAGCAGUGGAGUAUGUGGAUUAAUUCGAAGCAACGCGAAGAACCUUACCAGGUCUUGACAUCGUAUGCAUAGCUCAGAGAUGAGUGAAAUCUCUUCGGAGACAUAUAGACAGGUGGUGCAUGGUUGUCGUCAGCUCGUGUCGUGAGAUGUUGGGUUAAGUCCCGCAACGAGCGCAACCCUUACUGUUAGUUGCUACGCAAGAGCACUCUAGCAGGACUGCCGUUGACAAAACGGAGGAAGGUGGGGAUGACGUCAAAUCAUCAUGCCCCUUAUGACCUGGGCCUCACACGUACUACAAUGGCUGUCAACAGAGGGAAGCAAAGCCGCGAGGUGGAGCGAACCCCUAAAAGCAGUCUUAGUUCGGAUUGUAGGCUGCAACCCGCCUACAUGAAGUCGGAAUUGCUAGUAAUCGCAGAUCAGCAUGCUGCGGUGAAUACGUUCCCGGGCCUUGUACACACCGCCCGUCACGCCAUGGGAGUCGGUAACACCCGAAGCCUGUAGUCUAACCGCAAGGAGGACGCAGUCGAAGGUGGGAUUGAUGACUGGGGUGAAGUCGUAACAAGGUA